rnacentral:rRNA from 1 species
GACGAACGCUGGCGGCGUGCUUAACACAUGCAAGUCGAACGGAAAGGCCCUGCUUUUGUGGGGUGCUCGAGUGGCGAACGGGUGAGUAACACGUGAGUAACCUGCCCUUGACUUUGGGAUAACUUCAGGAAACUGGGGCUAAUACCGGAUAGGAGCUCCUGCUGCAUGGUGGGGGUUGGAAAGUUUCGGCGGUUGGGGAUGAACUCGCGGCUUAUCAGCUUGUUGGUGGGGUAGUGGCUUACCAAGGCUUUGACGGGUAGCCGGCCUGAGAGGGUGACCGGCAACAUUGGGACUGAGAUACGGCCCAGACUCCUACGGGAGGCAGCAGUGAGGAAUAUUGCACAAUGGGCGGAAGUCUGAUGCAGCAACGCCGCGUGCGGGAUGACGGCCUUCGGGUUGUAAACCGCUUUCGCCUGUGACGAAGCGUGAGUGACGGUAAUGGGUAAAGAAGCACCGGCUAACUACGUG